GACGAACGCUGGCGGCGUGCUUAACACAUGCAAGUCGAACGGAAAGGCCCUGCUUUUGUGGGGUGCUCGAGUGGCGAACGGGUGAGUAACACGUGAGUAACCUGCCCUUGACUUUGGGAUAACUUCAGGAAACUGGGGCUAAUACCGGAUAGGAGCUCCCGCUGCAUGGUGGGGGUUGGAAAGUUUCGGCGGUUGGGGAUGGACUCGCGGCUUAUCAGCUUGUUGGUGGGGUAGUGGCUUACCAAGGCUUUGACGGGUGGCCGGCCUGAGAGGGUGACCGGCCACAUUGGGACUGAGAUACGGCCCAGACUCCUACGGGAGGCAGCAGUGGGGAAUAUUGCACAAUGGGCGGAAGCCUGAUGCAGCAACGCCGCGUGCGGGAUGACGGCCUUCGGGUUGUAAACCGCUUUCGCCUGUGACGAAGCGUGAGUGACGGUAAUGGGUAAAGAAGCACCGGCUAACUACGUG
rnacentral:rRNA from 1 species